AACGAACGCUGGCGGCAGGCCUAACACAUGCAAGUCGAGCGGACCCUUCGGGGUUAGCGGCGGACGGGUGAGUAACGCGUGGGAAUAUGCCCUUCUCUACGGAAUAGUCCUGGGAAACUGGGGGUAAUACCGUAUACGCCCUUUGGGGGAAAGAUUUAUCGGGGAAGGAUUAGCCCGCGUUGGAUUAGGUAGUUGGUGGGGUAAUGGCCUACCAAGCCGACGAUCCAUAGCUGGUUUGAGAGGAUGAUCAGCCACACUGGGACUGAGACACGGCCCAGACCCACACGGGAGGGGGGAGGGGGGAACUUUGAAAAGGGGGGGCAGCCCUGACAGCCCCGGGCCGGGAGAAGGAUGAGGGCUUGGGGGUUGAAAAGUCUUUGGAGCUGGGAAGAAAAGGAGGGGACCAAAAAAAAAAGCCCCGGCUAACCCCGUG
rnacentral:rRNA from 1 species